rnacentral:rRNA from 1 species
AUUGAACGCUGGCGGCAGGCCUAACACAUGCAAGUCGAGCGAGCGGCGGGCGGGUGAGUACUGCCAGGCAAUUGCCCAGUCGAGGGAGCUACCGGUUGGAAACGACUACUAAUACCGCAUACGAAUGGACUGCCCAGGUGUGAUUAGCUAGUUGGUGGGGUAAUGGCCCACCCAGGCGACGAUCCCUAGCUGGUCUGAGAGGAUGAUCAGCCACACGGGAACUGAGACACGGUCCAGACUCCUACGGGAGGCAGCAGUGGGGAAUAUUGCACAAUGGGGGAAACCCUGAUGCAGCCAUGCCGCGUGUGUGAAGAAGGCCUUCGGGUUGUAAAGCACUUUCAGCGAGGAGGCGUUACUCGCAGAAGAAGCACCGGCUAACUCCGUGCCAGCAGCCGCGGUAAUUC